CAAGUUAUGGGAAGAACUUUAAGGAAUGUCACCUCAAGGUCACUGCAGUGAAGGAUCGACCCGAACCUGAGACAACGAGUGACACCAGACUGAGAAGAGAAAGGGAAAGCAUCGUUCUCUACUGUGCACUGGGACUGACAGCAGCUCUACUGGGAUGUUUCUUUAUUUUCUAUCUGCAUAUCAAAGAAAGAUUAGUGAUCAGCACAACAAAUGAUACAUCGUUGUUAAAUUCAUCUAAGUUUUUGCACAGAAAGUGUCCAACGUCUGACAUCAAAGUAUAAAUGUGUGAUAAUUUACUGUGUACAAGUCAAAUUAAAUGUUUUCGUUACAUCUCUUUCUUUUUUUAUCAGAAGAACAGAGACCGACCUUCGUGAUCUACCAUUUAAUAUUCUGCUUUUACGAGAAAUUAUUUUCCUUACGUUACGUAAAGAAUUUAAAGAGUCUCUUGCAUCAUCUUUAAAACUGCUUUAAUCCACCACAUGAGGGAUGACGUGUGCGUGUACUCCAGUUUACGCUGUGAAUAAACAAUGAGGACACGUGAAGGACAGACGUUAUGAGGCAUGAUGGGACAUAUCUAGCAGCUUGGGGACCAAUGGGUGUCCAUCAGGGAGCAGAUGUUCAACUAGAUGACGAUACCCAUAGACAUAAUAUACAUAGACGCCGCAUUGGCUUCGGGUCGCGAGAAACAAGGCCGCCAUCUUGUAGCGGUGGUGCUCGUAGUAGCGUAGCAGCAGAAGAUGCAGGAGGCCACAGCACUGUGCUGCUUAUUUCUGCGCUAAUCGGCGGCCCAUCGCCAGCAGGGCUCAGGGGGAUUAACCUUUCACAAGUAAGAUUUAACAUUACCGUCCUAUUUGUUGUGUUUUGUGAAAAGAAUAUUACCAGAGAGCAGAGAAGGAGCAAGUAUCUCACUGUAGUGAAAUGGUAGUCAGCUAGCUUGCCGAUGUUUAUUUCCCCGGCUGUUUUUCACCUGAUUAUGAACUGAGACUUGAUGAGUCAUAUUCCAUAACACUUAGAUUCAAACGGACACACUAAUGUUAUUGUAGAAAUAUAACCUAUCACUGGUAUAACAUUGGCCACACAACUUUCUUGUCAUGUGGAAUUAACGCAUGUUAAAGCAGCGUGCUAUGUAGCGAACUAGCUGCUGUGUUUGUGAUACUGAGCUCGCUGCAUUUCACUGUGUAGCAGCUUUUGUGUAGUGAAGCUUUAUUCAUGGCAGAGUAACUGUUAGCUUAGCUGAGUUCAAUGUGAAAGCAACUUGCCAACACAGUGUAUUAUUCACAUGUAAUUCAACAAAAGUAAGAUACCUCUCGUAUCUCAUAUCCCGCUUACUUACAAUAAAGGCAACAGAACAUCUGACCUUA